CGCUACGGACUUAAAAUCCGUUGGCUUUAUAGACCAUGAGGGUUCAAGUCCCUCUACCCCCAUCGGAA
rnacentral:tRNA from 1 species